CUCUGGUGCGCCAGAACUAAUACCGCAUUUGUUGCUUCGGCAAUGAAAGGGAAUCGCAAGAUUUUCGCUAAUUGAUAGGGAUAAGUCGUAUUAGUUUGUUGGUGGGGUAAUGGCCUACCAAGACGAUGAUGCGUAGCCGGGCUGAGAGGCUGAUCGGCCACAAGGGAACUGAGACACGGUCCCUACUCCUACGGGAGGCAGCAGUGAGGAAUUUUCGGCAAUGGGGGAAACCCUGACCGAGCAAUACUACGUGAAGGAGGAAGGUCUACGGAUUGUAAACUUCUGUUAGUGCGGAAGAAGGGCUGAAUGCAAGUUCAGCCUUGACGGUACGCACAGAGAAAGCCACGACUAACUACGUGCCAGCAGUCGCGGUAAGACGUAGGUGGCGAACGUUAUCCGGAAUUAUUGGGCGUAAAGGGUGCGUAGGCGGCGGAAUAAGUUAGUGGUGGAAAAUCGGGGCUCAACCUCGUGGAAGUCAUUAAUACUGUUUUGCUAGAGGACAGGAGAGGUUAACGGAAUUCCCUGUGGAGCGGUAAAAUGUGUAGAUAUAGGGAAGAACACCAAUAAGGCGAAGGCAGUUAACUAUUCUGUUCCUGACGUUGAGGCACGAAAGCGUGGGGAGCAAAUAGGAUUAGAUACCCUAGUAGUCCACGCCCUAAACGAUGAGUGCUAGACAUUGGAAACUUGAUUUUCAGUGUCGCUAGAUAACUCGGUAAGCACUCCGCCUGGGUAGUACGCUCGCAAGAGUGAAACUCAAAGGAAUUGACGGGGACUCGCACAAGCACUGGAGCAUGUGGUUUAAUCCGAUGCAACGCGUAGAACCUUACCAAGGCUUGACAUGUUUGGCAAAACUGUGGAAACACAGCGGAGGUUAUCCAAACACAGGUGCUGCAUGGCCGUCGUCAGUUCGUGCCGUGAGGUGUAUGGUUAAGUCCUAUAACGAACGCAACCCUUGGGCUUAGUUGCCAGCAUUACAGUUGGGACUCUAGGCCGAC
rnacentral:rRNA from 1 species